CUAGCGGUCGCUGGUCUUCAAAAUCCGUGCCAGAAACCGACCGCGUCACGCUAAUCCACGUUCGCAGAUUCGUGUCCACAUUCAUUCACAAAAAUGUCCAUAAAAAAUAAAGGAAAAGAGAGAACAAAUAAAACAUUGGAUGAACAUCUUAAGUUAAAUCAACAGCAUCAAUAAUUUUAACGGGCAACAAAAAUUGUAAACAAAACACUAAGCACACAAAAUGUGCGAAUAUGAAAGCUAUGCGAGUGGGUGCGUGCGUGUGUUGCAGUGUGUGUAAUGGCGGCGCAAAGGUACUGACCACGUUUGCAGGUAUUGAAGGCACCAAUGAGUAUCGCGGGUCACCAGACACCAAGAUAGGUGGAUAAGCGGUUUUUGCCUUGUCUUCAGGACUGCUCAUGACAGUUGGUCUGGAAGUGCAAUGCUUCAGUCACGCACCAGACAUCAUAACCAUGGAACAGCGGAUUGACACGCAGCCGUCUUUCCACCGUAAACCAUCUCUCAUACGGGCAACCCUCAUGUGCAAACAAACGAAUGACGCCUCUCUUUCAGUUUACAGACGGUGAAUCCACAUCCGUCCAUCACGUCCCUCACUGCUGCAGUCAGACUGAAUCUGAUCAUGGAUGAGAGAGGGACAUCGAGGCUGUCCUUGUCUGAGUGCACAGAGAGGAUCAGGAAGACCAUGAUGAAGAUCCUAAAACACACAACCCUGAAUCAAGAUCAGGAGAACAUGUGUGGGACAAUCUGACUGCUGCUGUGUCUGCUCCAAACAUCUGUGUGCUGCUCUCCAUGAGCACCACACUACCUGUAAAACAUUUACACAGAGUAAAACACUUUAUAUCUCAUGUUGUCAGCAUUCUAUUUAUUGCUAAAUUUAAUUUAAUAUUUUUACAAUUGCAUGCUAAUUUGAUAAAGCUUCAUUACUUUUGUGGGGUAGUGAACUGAACUGGUCAGCAGAAGGUUGCUGGAUCAAUCUCUGCAGUCGUCUCCACCGGUGUGUCUUUACUCCAGGUGACUCAGGGAUUACAGGAUUGAGGUCCCUGUAAUAAGAGCACUGUAAGUCACUUAAGAUAAAAGUCUCUGCCAAAUUAAUACAUGUACAUGUGAUUUUUGUAAAUGCUUAUUUGUGUCUUGGGCACAAACGCUCAAUAAAUGCUUAAGAAAGGUACUACUAUAAUAUUAA
ensembl:lncRNA